CGGCGUGUAGCUCAACAGCCAGAGCACCGGGCUCGAAACCCGAGGGGCGCAGGGGCAGCACCUGCCACGCCGC
rnacentral:tRNA from 1 species